rnacentral:ncRNA from 1 species
UGAGAAGAGCUGCUCCUAGUACGAGAGGACCGGAGUGGACGACCCUCUGGUGUUCCGGUUGUCACGCCAGUGGCAUUGCCGGGUAGCUAUGGUCGGACGGGAUAACCGCUGAAAGCAUCUAAGCGGGAAGCCCCCUUCAAGAUGAGACAUCCCCGAGACCUAGAGUCUCCUAAAGGGCCCAGCGAGACCAGCUGGUGGAUAGGCACGGUGUGGAAGCGCUGCAAGGCGUUGAGCUAACGUGUACUAAUGGCCCGUGAGGCUUGACCCU